UGUUUCGGCAAGGGGGUCAUCCCGACUUACCAACCCGAUGCAAACUGCGAAUACCGGAGAAUGUUAUCACGGGAGACACACGGCGGGUGCUAACGUCCGUCGUGAAGAGGGAAACAACCCAGACCGCCAGCUAAGGUCCCAAAGUCAUGGUUAAGUGGGAAACGAUGUGGGAAGGCCCAGACAGCCAGGAUGUUGGCUUAGAAGCAGCCAUCAUUUAAAGAAAGCGUAAUAGCUCACUGGUCGAGUCGGCCUGCGCGGAAGAUGUAACGGGGCUAAACCAUGCACCGAAGCUGCGGCAGCGACGCUUAUGCGUUGUUGGGUAGGGGAGCGUUCUGUAAGCCUGUGAAGGUGUGCUGUGAGGCAUGCUGGAGGUAUCAGAAGUGCGAAUGCUGACAUAAGUAACGAUAAAGCGGGUGAAAAGCCCGCUCGCCGGAAGACCAAGGGUUCCUGUCCAACGUUAAUCGGGGCAGGGUGAGUCGACCCCUAAGGCGAGGCCGAAAGGCGUAGUCGAUGGGAAACAGGUUAAUAUUCCUGUACUUGGUGUUACUGCGAAGGGGGGACGGAGAAGGCUAUGUUGGCCGGGCGACGGUUGUCCCGGUUUAAGCGUGUAGGCUGGUUUUCCAGGCAAAUCCGGAAAAUCAAGGCUGAGGCGUGAUGACGAGGCACUACGGUGCUGAAGCAACAAAUGCCCUGCUUCCAGGAAAAGCCUCUAAGCAUCAGGUAACAUCAAAUCGUACCCCAAACCGACACAGGUGGUCAGGUAGAGAAUACCAAGGCGCUUGAGAGAACUCGGGUGAAGGAACUAGGCAAAAUGGUGCCGUAACUUCGGGAGAAGGCACGCUGAUAUGUAGGUGAAGUCCCU
rnacentral:rRNA from 1 species